ACGCUGGCGGCAUGCCUAACACAUGCAAGUCGAACGAGACCUUCGGGUCUAGUGGCGCACGGGUGCGUAACGCGUGGGAACCUGCCUUUAGUUCGGAAUAACUCAGAGAAAUUUGAGCUAAUACCGGAUAAUGUCUUCGGACCAAAGAUUUAUCGCCUUUAGAUGGGCCCGCGUUGGAUUAGCUAGUUGGUGGGUAAAGGCCUACCAAGGCGACGAUCCAUAGCUGGUCUGAGAGGAUGAUCAGCCACACUGGGACUGAGACACGGCCCAGACUCCUACGGGAGGCAGCAGUGGGGAAUAUUGGACAAUGGGCGAAAGCCUGAUCCAGCAAUGCCGCGUGAGUGAUGAAGGCCUUAGGGUUGUAAAGCUCUUUUACCCGAGAUGAUAAUGACAGUAUCGGGAGAAUAAGCUCCGGCUAACUCCGUG
rnacentral:rRNA from 1 species